GACGAACGCUGGCGGCGUGCUUAACACAUGCAAGUCGAACGGAAAGGCCCUGCUUUUGUGGGGUGCUCGAGUGGCGAACGGGUGAGUAACACGUGAGUAACCUGCCCUUGACUUUGGGAUAACUUCAGGAAACUGGGGCUAAUACCGGAUAGGGGCUCCUGCUGCAUGGUGGGGGUUGGAAAGAUUCGGCGGUUGGGGAUGGACUCGCGGCUUAUCAGCUUGUUGGUGGGGUAGUGGCUUACCAAGGCUUUGACGGGUAGCCGGCCUGAGAGGGUGACCGGCCACAUUGGGACAGAGAUACGGCCCAGACUCCUACGGGAGGCAGCAGUGGGGAAUAUUGCACAAUGGGCGGAAGCCUGACGCAGCAACGCCGCGUGCGGGAUGAAGGCCUUCGGGUUGUAAACCGCGUUCGCCUGUGACGAAGCGUGAGUGACGGUAAUCGGUAAAGAAGCACCGGCUAACUACGUG
rnacentral:rRNA from 1 species